rnacentral:lncRNA from 1 species
CCGUGCACUAAAUCUAAUCUAUAACUGUCUAAGCCUGAAUCUUAUGACACAAAAUAUGCAUGCAUAAUCUAAAAAUAAUAUGAGAAAUAUUAAUUAGAUCUAAUCUAAAAUAUGAUAGAGAUUAGAUCUCUAUACCUGAGCAUGGGUCGAAGAUCUUUGCAGUUGAAGACUGAGGGGUUGUAUGUUGCUCCUAGCUGCAUAUGCAUCCGACCUCUACAAGUAUCCACAUGAAGUACGAGC